rnacentral:rRNA from 1 species
UACGUAGGGUCCGAGCGUUAAUCGGAAUUACUGGGCGUAAAGCGUGCGCAGGCGGUUUUGUAAGCCAGAUGUGAAAUCCCCGGGCUUAACCUGGGAACUGCAUUUGGGACUGCAAGGCUUGAGUACAGCAGAGGGGGGUAGAAUUCCUGGUGUAGCAGUGAAAUGCGUAGAUAUCAGGAGGAAUACCGAUGGCGAAGGCAGCCCCCCUGGGUUGAUACUGACGCUCAUGCACGAAAGCGUGGGGAGCAAACAGG